GUGGUUGGCUGUUUCCACUGACCAUUGCACUGCAUGACUAAUGAACUUGAGUUGUGUGCCCUGACUGUUAAUAGAUGAACAGUCAUUUCUGCAUAAAGCUCCUCAUUGUUCGCUAUAAAAUCUUCCCUUAACUUGUGUAUCUGUUGUUAUGAAUGGUGUAUACCCAACUAUUUAUGAAUAAAAUGUGGUCACUGUACAAUAAUAUUGUACAACCAGAAAAGUACAGCAUGCCAAAACACUCCCUCCCCGUCGCGUCGCGGACCGAGCGCGGCCGAACCAGAAUCGAUGUCACACGAAGCCAGUUCGCUUGCAGUCCCGCUGACGGCUCCCUUCCAUAAUAAUCUUGCUUCGCUUUCGCCACGCUGCGACCCAACGCCAGUCAACAGUCCACGUUAUCACUGUGCGGCUACGUAAACACUACAAUUGUGCAUCAUUUUUGAGAAACCCAACAAGAUUUACCUGCCAAAUACAGUUUUAAUCGAGUUACAAUGAACAAAUUAAGAUCCGGUGUGAAAUAGAGACGGGACGAGGCAAGGCGAACGACGUUUUAUUUUGGAACGCUGGACUAAAGAUACGAAACUGUAUAAUUACUGUGUUACGUUUCCUGUGCGAUGUUGGGGGAGAGUUUUGGUUAAAAAGUUGACAUUAGACGUUUAUUGGGACUUAUUGCGAAUGUGUAUUGAAACGUUCAUCGCUAUUCACGGGCGCACUGCUAUGCGCCACGAUUUAGUGCAUUUUAUAAGACAUACUUCUUCCGACCACUACUGCGAAGGAAGAAUUUAGUCAACGAUUCAGAUCGCUAUUGAUGGCGUUACUAAGCAUCCAGGGGGACUGGUAUUUAUACAUUUGGUUAAUAUACUGCAAAAUCUAUUCAGCUAUUAUAUGGUUGUUCAGCAAUCACUGCCGCGGGGCUGAUAAGGUUCACUCAGUGAUAACAAGUGGAGUUAGCGGACAGUCGCCUGGAGGCCUUCAUAGAGUGCGCACGCGUCGCCGAAGAGCGCAACAGCAGCACCGCGUUAAACACAUCGUUGCUUUAGCAAGGAGACCUUCUCUCAGAAGAAUCGUGAUGGCACCAGGAGCAAGCACCGCCCACACCAUGAUGGAGGACAAAGAGAAAAUUCUCAACGGAGCUUUGGCAACUGGUGAGUUCAUUGUUUUCUUAACCAUUUUUAAUACGUGUACGCUGUGAAGUAUUCUUUUGUUUUUAAAUUAUUACUCUGCUGGUAUUAACAUGAAACAUAGUGAGCGGUCAACUUAGAUAUUGUGAAGUCAUGACAUUGUUGUUCUGUAGUCAGGGACAGGCCUCCAACCGGCGACAGUUUCUAUUUUCUAUGCGUGCAAAAACUUCGGCAUACAUUUUUGUAACUGUAUAAAAAUUAUCACCUAACCUCACUUUCAGUCAAUAAUUUACUUCAUCAAAAUCGAUAAUAGUUUUUCACCACUAGUCUGCAGAUUUUUUAUAUAAUUUUAAUUGCAUUGUGCUUUCAUGCCCGGUGUAGGUUGCGACCAUGCAAAUUCUUUAUCAUAAAUAACAAGCAGAAAUAAUGAUAUGAAAGUCUAAAAAUAGAAGUUUAAUACCUUUAUGCUGUGAAUGAAUUGAACAGUGUGGUCGACUGAUUGCUUCCUACUUAGUUGUCAUCGGUAAGGUCAGUAACAAGAUUAGUAACAAAAAACUUAUAAUAAUAUUAUAAACAUUGCCUUUACAUCACGUACCAAAACGUAUUAAAAUGUUAUAGGUAGGUCCUUGAAAAACCAUACUACCGAACAAAUUAAUCAGCCUUCAAUUUUACCCAUAUUUU